AUUGAACGCUGGCGGCAUGCCUUACACAUGCAAGUCGAGCGCGAAAGGGGGCAACCCCGAGUAGAGCGGCGGACGGGUGAGUAACGCAUCGGAACGUGCCCAGUAGUGGGGGACAACCUCGAGAAAUCGAGGCUAAUACCGCAUACGACCCACGGGUGAAAGCGGGGGACCGCAAGGCCUCGCGCUAUUGGAGCGGCCGAUGUCCGAUUAGCUAGUUGGCGGGGUAAGAGCCCACCAAGGCGACGAUCGGUAGCUGGUCUGAGAGGACGACCAGCCACACUGGGACUGAGACACGGCCCAGACUCCUACGGGAGGCAGCAGUGGGGAAUUUUGGACAAUGGGGGCAACCCCUGAUCCAGCCAUGCCGCGUGCGGGAAGAAGG
rnacentral:rRNA from 1 species